CCUACGGGAGGCAGCAGUGAGGAAUAUUGGUCAAUGGACGAGAGUCUGAACCAGCCAAGUAGCGUGAAGGAUGACUGCCCUAUGGGUUGUAAACUUCUUUUAAAUGAAUAUAACAAGGCACGUGUGCCUGUUUUCGUGUACUUUAUGAAUAAGGAUCUGCUAACUCCGUGCCAGCAGCCGCGGUAAUACGGAGGAUCCGAGCGUUAUCCGGAUUUAUUGUGUUUAAAGGGAGCGUAGAUGGGUUGUUAAGUCAGUUGUGAAAGUUUGCGGCUCAACCGUAAAAUUGCAAUUGAUACUGGCAGUCUUGAGUACAGUUGAGGUAAGCGGAAUUCGUGGUGUAGCGGUGAAAUGCUUAGAUAUCACGAAGAACCACGAUUGCGAAGGCAGCUCACUAAACUGUGACUGACAUUGAUGCUCGAAAGUGUGGGUAUCAAACAGGAUUAGAUACCCCAGUAGUC
rnacentral:rRNA from 1 species